rnacentral:rRNA from 1 species
AUUGAACGCUUGCGGCAGGCCUAACACAUGCAAGUCGAGCGAGCGGCGGACGGGUGAGUAAUGUAUGGGGACUGCCCGAUAGAGGGGGAUAACUACUGGAAACGGUAGCUAAUACCGAAUACUAUCGGAUAACCCAUAUGGGUUUAGCUAGUAGGUGAGGUAAUGGCUCACCUAGGCGACGAUCACUAGCUGGUCUGAGAGGAUGAUCAGCCACACGUGGACUGGGAGACGGCCCAGACGCCUACGGAGGCAGCAGGGGGGAAUAUUGCACAAGGGGCGAAAGCCUGAUGCAGCCAUGCCGCGUGUAUGAAGAAGGCCCUAGGGUUGUAAAGUACUUUCAGUCGGGAGGCGUUACCGACAGAAGAAGCACCGGCUAACUCCGUGCCAGAAGCCGCGGUAAUAC